rnacentral:rRNA from 1 species
UACAGAGGUCUCAAGCGUUGUUCGGAUUCAUUGGGCGUAAAGGGUGCGUAGGCGGCGCGGUAAGUCGGGUGUGAAAUCUCGGGGCUUAACUCCGAAACUGCAUUCGAUACUGCUGUGCUUGAGGACUGGAGAGGAGACUGGAAUUUACGGUGUAGCGGUGAAAUGCGUAGAUAUCAGGAGGAACACCAAUAGCGAAGGCAGCUCGCUGGGACGGUACUGACGCUAAGGCGCGAAAGCGUGGGAGCGAACAGG